UUCCAGACUCCUACGGGAGGCAGCAGUGGGGAAUAUUGCACAAUGGGGGAAACCCUGAUGCAGCGACGCCGCGUGAGUGAAGAAGUAUUUCGGUAUGUAAAGCUCUAUCAGCAGGGAAGAAAAUGACGGUACCUGACUAAGAAGCCCCGGCUAACUACGUGCCAGCAGCCGCGGUAAUACGUAGGGGGCAAGCGUUAUCCGGAUUUACUGGGUGUAAAGGGAGCGUAGACGGCAUGGCAAGUCAGAUGUGAAAGCCCGGGGCUCAACCCCGGGACUGCAUUUGAAACUGUCAGGCUGGAGUGCAGGAGAGGUAAGUGGAAUUCCUAGUGUAGCGGUGAAAUGCGUAGAUAUUAGGAGGAACACCAGUGGCGAAGGCGGCCUACUGGACGGUGACUGACGCUGAGGCUCGAAAGCGUGGGGAGCAAACAGGAUUAGAUACCCCAGUA
rnacentral:rRNA from 1 species